GACGGAGGAUGCAAGCGUUAUCCGGAAUGAUUGGGCGUAAAGCGUCCGCAGGUGGCAGUUCAAGUCUGCUGUCAAAGACCGGGGCUUAACUUCGGAAAGGCAGUGGAAACUGAGCAGCUAGAGUAUGGUAGGGGCAGAGGGAAUUCCUGGUGUAGCGGUGAAAUGCGUAGAUAUCAGGAGGAACACCGAUGGCGAAGGCAGGUCUCUGGGCCGCAACUGACGCUGAGGAGCGAAAGCAUGGGGAGCGAACAGG
rnacentral:rRNA from 1 species